rnacentral:rRNA from 1 species
CAGUCGCCGCGGGAAUACGGAGGGGGCUAGCGUUGUUCGGAAUUACUGGGCGUAAAGCGUACGUAGGCGGUUUUGUAAGUUAGAGGUGAAAGCCCGGAGCUCAACUCCGGAAUUGCCUUUAAGACCGCAUCACUUGAACGUCGGAGAGGUGAGUGGAAUUCCGAGUGUAGAGGUGAAAUUCGUAGAUAUUCGGAAGAACACCAGUGGCGAAGGCGGCUAACUGGACGACUGUUGACGCUGAGGUACGAAAGCGUGGGGAGCAAACAGGAUUAGAUACCCCGGUAGUCCCUGUCUCUUAUAC